rnacentral:lncRNA from 1 species
UCUUUUUAUAAUGGUCCAGCAAAUUAAGAGGAAAGAGGGAAAAAUGUAUGACACAAGAAGAGAUACUUUUAGAAGCAGCUGAAAUAGGUAUCAUUUGUUUCUUUUUCUAACUUUACACAAAGGAUUUUUUGUGAAGAAAUGAUUUAAAUGUGCCAGUGUUGAUUAAAUAUUUGUUAUUAUCUUUAGCUAUAUUUUGAGAGAUCAUGAACAUGAGAAGGAAGUGAAGAAAAUGUUUAUUGUUCAGAAAGAUGUUUUUGGGGAUUCUACUAUUAUAUUCUUCUCGAUUCUUGAGAAAUGGUAACUUCUCCAUACCUAAAUAGUGAAUUUAGCAGCUAUUCUCUUUGUACUUAUCAGCCAGUGAAUUAGGGGAAUCGCAUCUUGAAUUUACUAAUGGGGCAUCAUUUUGUUCCUGCCGUCUACAUUGAUGUUUUCUCUGCUAAAGUGACAACCAACUUUCCAAGUUCAAGUCAGAUGACACGGAGAGGGGGAGAAGUUUAUGAUGGUUCUUCAUGUGUGUGCCAUUUAGGUUAUAUUUGAAAAUACUUUCCAAUGUUGUUUUGAAUGUAGUGAACUACCGAUUAACUAUUUCAUUGGCAGAUGAAUACUUAUGAUUGCCAUUUUUGUGGAUUUGGAUACUUACCAUUGCCUUUUGUUGAGGAUUUUGUAAUCCUAUUUGUCAACAUAAUGGGUUAGUUGUCUACCUGAGAUAGGUUUUGCUAAAUAUUUGCGCAUGUUGGCUGACAGUAUGGUCACCACAUAUAUGACAUUAAGGUAACAGAAGUAGUGCCCUUCUAUUUCUACUCUUACUCACACUAUCCUAUUGCAUUGGAACGAAUUUACCAUUUUGAAUAUUUGGUGUAUGCUAUGUAAAAUAGUAAGCAUGGUAGCCACGUACUCUUGUUUCUAUUCUAAAAUCCUACCAUAAAGAAGCUCUCUUUUGGAUGAAGAACAAAGUAAUCCCUGUUUGAGUGCCUAUAUUGUUGCAGACAAUAUGUGAUUUUCUGUGCUAUUAUUUGUGUAAUUUUAAAAGAAUGUGAUAAUGGUCAGUGCUAAUCACAUUUCUUUAAAAAAUUUAGCAUGGUUCUUGACGUCUACAUUGAUGUUUUCUCUGGUAAAGUGACAACCAACUUUCCAAGUUCAAGUCAGAUGACACGAAGAGGGGUUAGAAGAUUAUGAUGGUUCUUCAUGUAUGUGCCAUUUAGGUUAUAUUUGAAAAUACUUCCAAUGUUGUUUUCAAUGUAGUGAACUACUGUAACUAUUUCAUUGGCAGAUGAAUACUUAUGAUUGCCUUUUUUGUGGAUUUUGGAUACUUAUGAUUGCCUUUUGUUGAGGAUUUUGUAACCAUGUUCGUCGACAUAAUGGGUUAGUUGUCUACUAGAGAUAGGUUUUGCUAAAUAUUUGCGCAUGUUUGCUGACAUUGGUCACCACACUGAUGUUAGUGGACAGACCUUAAUAAGAAACUAUAAAUGAUUCUUCAAAUUUUAUUAGUAUAGUAUUUUCUUAUUUGCUUACACUUCCAUUUUCC